rnacentral:lncRNA from 1 species
GCUUGGAACACUGUCUGCUAGACUUAUAGUCACAGGAUUAUGAAGUUGGGGGCUCCGUGGUGCCAGGCACCUAUGUCUGGAAAUGUGGCUUACUGUUCUGUCCAUUGUAGAGUUUUCUACUGGGUCUCCGGAACAAGCUUCGCUCAACCAAAACAGGCUGCCUUUCACGGUCCUACACAGCCAGGCAUGGAACAGGCAGCCACUGUGUUCCUGAAAUGAGACCAGCAUCUGCCUUUGAUCUGGGGUCUACGCACAGCAUGGACAAUGCAUGGCUAAGAUGUCUAAACCCAGACAUCCCAGGAGAUUAAGGAAAGAAGAUCAGAAGUUCCAGGCCUGUCUGGGCUACAGAGCAAGUUCAAGACCAGUCUGGGAAACAUAUUGAUAAUUAUGUCUCAAAUAAACACUAGGAAGAGGGCUGAGGUCAGUGGGGUGCAUGAGACCCUAGAAUCCCAAAACAACAAAAGCAUCACCACCAUUAUCAUCACCAUCACCAUCAUCACCAUCCCCACCUCUGCCGCCAUCGCUAUAACAUAUGUGAUUAUCUUACAGUGCUCUAGAUCAGAACACUUGGUUUGUAACGUAAUCUGGAAAUUCUCUCUCAGACAUGCCCAAGAGAGUUGUCUCCAUAGUGUUCUCAACCUGGUCAAGUGGACAGUCAAGAUUAACCCUUUGAUUCCCAUGGCUAAAAGCUAUUCCUUCCAGUGCCGUCUUCUGUUGCUUAGGGUGUUGAGAGUGA